GCCGCUAUGGUGAAAUCGUUAGAC
rnacentral:tRNA from 1 species